rnacentral:rRNA from 1 species
UCGCUACUACCGAUUGAACGGUUUAGUGAGUUUCGAGGAUUGGAGCUCUUCAUUGUUCUGCAAUGUCUUGUUCUGAGAGCAGAUGCAAACUUGAUCGUUUAGAGGAAGUAA